GUGGGCCCUCGAAAUCCUGUGGCGGGAGGAUUCAGUCGAGAGGUCCGGAGGCCUUGCCGGGACGUUAUCAGAGUGGAACCCGUGACGGGCCUUCUCGGCUCGGCUCUUUCGGACCGACAGACGCAUUUCUUUCCCGCACGAAGGACGCCGCGACCGGUUGGCGGAGCGGCUUUAAGGGCGGGAGACGGCAGUUGGCCGGUGGUCCGCCCCUGUGGGCCGCCGGUUGUUAGCUUUCCCGUCGCACGGCCGCACCCCGACCGUGGUUGCGAGGCCCUCAUGGGCCUCUUCGCCUCCUCCUAGUGUAGCGAGUGGACGCGGCAGGUGAGGCUCGGAGGCUGCGGGCGCAUGGACUGACUCCAUGGCCCGGCGGCGCCGAGUCCCCGCUGGCUGCGCGAGGCUCGUCGGAGUGCUGGCGGUUUGCGGCGAGUAGAUCGGUCACCCACCCCACCCGUCUUGAAACACGGACCAAGGAGUAUGACAUGUGUGCGAGUCAAUGGGUCUCGAUGAAGCCCAAAGGCGCAAUGAAAGCAAAGGCCGAUCACGGCCGAGUUGGGAUCCCCUCUCCUCCGCGGGAGGGGCGCACCAACGGCCCGUCCCGUCCGAUUCAUCGGUGUGGCGGAGUCUGAGCACACACGUCGUGACCCGAAAGAUGGUGAACUAUGCCCGGGCAGGACGAGGCCAGAGGAAACUCUGGUGGAGGUCCGCAGC
rnacentral:rRNA from 1 species